CUUGAAUGAAUGCAGCUUGAGGAGACCCGGCCAUAUACACUGGGCCACAGGUUACCCUCGGCAAUGCCCACAUCAGCCGUCAGCCUGAGCCUCCCCAGGAGAGCAAGGCUCACACGACAAAGGCUGCCCGUGGCCAAUGAGGUGGCUGAGCCCAGCCAGGACCUUUCUCGGACUCCCGGGAUGUGGCUCUGCUCGUGAGCUGCCUGGUCAGCUCUCUCGGGGUGAGAGGGGCUUGUCACACGGGCCUCUGCCUGCAGUGUGACCCUUCUCAGCUUCUCUCAGCAGCCCUGCCUGCGGAGUGUCACCGCCACCAUGAUCAUUUCCCUGACACAGCGAGGGUGGGGGGACGUCCUGGGUAGAGACAGGGCCCGUGGCAGCAGCAGGCUCAGGGGCGCCCUGCACUGGUGGGCUGGGGACCUGGUGGAGACCACGCCAAGGGCUGGACAAGGGGACGAGCCUCCACCCUGGCCUCUCCGCAGGCCUCAGCAGCCCCUCCCACAGGCAGAAGGGUUGACACUGGGUUCUGCCCUCACUGCAAGAGCUGCAAGUGCCACGUGCUGUUCUGCCCAAUCUGGUGUCUGCAGGUGAGGGAAGGGCUGCCGCUGGCCCGUUUCUGAGUGUUCAGCACCUAAGGGUGACAGCACUGUCUGUCCCUACCCUCCAGGUCCUGUUUGAAGAUCAAACCCAUGCUCACAGGCCAAUUUUUUUUUUCUUUUAGAGACAGGGUCUCACUUUGUCACCCAAGCUGGAGUGCAGUGGUGCGAUUAUAGCUCAAUGCAGCCUCCAAUUCCUGGACUCAAGGGACCCUCCUGCCUCAGCCUGCCAAGUAGCUUGGACUAUAGCUGUGUGUUUUCUUAUUAUUUUGUAGACAUGGGGUCUGGCUAUGUUGUCCAGGCUAUUCUCAAAAUUCCCGGCCUCAAGCAAUCCUCCUGCCUCGGCCUCUCAAAGGUUGGGAUUACAAGUGUGAGGCAAGGCACCCAGCUCAGCCACAGAGCCCUGUUGCAUCUCUCUUACUAGGAGCAAGAGCUGACUGCCCCCUCAUCCCCAUUCCAGAGUGUUGGGGCUGUGUUCAGCCGAGGCCGGGCCACUGGCAUGGCCCAGGGAGCGGGAUCCUUCACUGCUGCCCCAAAUCUGAGAUCAUUCCACCUUGACAAGACUUCCUCAUCCAAUCCCUUUACUUGACAGCUGGGGAAACCAAUGCGCACAGAGCACCCCCAGCUCACUCGGGGUCUCAGAGCUGAUCCAUGAGCAGAGGCUGAGAUCCUGGGAUCUUGUCCCCCAGCCUCCCUGCAAGCUUACUCCCUUUCUGCUGGAAGAGAUGGGGCCGGACCUCGACCAGCAGCCCUGGCCUGGACAUGACUGUGCUCAUGCAGGUAUUGAGGCCGAGAUGCCCCGGCAUCAUAUGUUUUUCUUUUCUUUUCUUUUCUUUUUUUGAGAUGGUGUCUCACUCUGUCACCCAAGCUGGAGUGCAGUGGCAUGAUAUUGGCUCACUGCAACCUCUGCCUCCCGGUUAAAGUGAUUCUCCUGCCUCAGCCUUCCAAGUAGCUGGGCCUACAGGCUUGUACCACCAUGCCUGACUAAUUUUUGUGUUUUUACUAGAGACGGGGUUUCCCCAUGUUGGCCAGGCUCGUGUCAAACUCCUGACCUCAGGUGAUCCACCUGCCUUGGCCUCCCAAAGUGCUAGGAUUACAGGCAUGAGCCAUGGCAUCACUUAAAUGUAGUGAGAGGCCGGGCUCGGUGGCUCAUGCCUGUAAUCCCAGUACUUUGAGAGGACGAAGCUGUCAGAUCACCUAAGGUCAGGAGUUCGAGACCAGCCUGGCCAAUAUGGUGAAACUGUGUCUCUACAAAAAAAUAGAAAAAAAAAAUCCCUGCGUGGUGGUGAGUACCUGUAGUCCCAGUUACUCAGGAGUCUGAGGCAUGAGAAUCGCUUAAACCUUGGAGGCAGAGGCUGCAGUGAGCUGAGAUGGCGCCACUGCACUCCAGCCUGGGUGACAGAGCAAGACUUUGUCUCUAAAUAAUUAAAUAAAUAAAUAUGGCCGAACAUGGUGCCUUAGGCCUGUAAUCCCAACACUUUGGGAGGCUGAGGCAGGUGGUUCAUGAGGUCAGGAGCCUGAGACCAGCCUGGCCAAGACGGUGAAACACUGUCUCUACUAAAAAUACAAAAAUUAGCCAGCUGUGGUGGCAGGCACCUGUAAUCCCAGCUACUUGGGACACUGAGGCAGGAGAAUCGCUUGAAACUGGAAGUCAGAGGUUGCAGUGAGCCGAGAUUGCACCACUGCACCCUAGCCUGGGCGAUGGAGCAAGACUCCAUCUCAAAUAAAUAAAUUAAUAAAUACAGAGCAAGAUUCCAUCUUAAAUAAAUAAAUAAACUUACACCUGUAAUCCUAGCACUUCGGGAGGCUAAGACAGGUCAAUCACCUGAGGUCAGGAGUUCGAGACCAGCCUGACCAAUAUGGCUAAACUCCAUCUCUACUAAAAAUACAAAAAUUAGCCGGGCCUUUUGACGUGUGCCUGUAGUCUCAGCUACUUGGGAGGCUGAGACAGGAGAAUUGCUUGAACCCAGGAGGUGGAGGUUGCAGUGAGCCGAGAUCUCGGCUGCACUUCAGCCUGGGUGACAGAGUAAGACUGUCUCAAAAGGAAUAAAUAAAAUACAAAAUAAAAAAAAUGUAGUAAGAUUGCAGAGUCGUGCCGCGGAAGCGUGCUGGUCCUAUCCAUGUAGUGAAGGCUGAUUUCAUACAGAAAUGUCACAAGAACUUUUUUUUUCUUUUUCUUUUUCUUUUUUUGAGACGGAGUCUCGCUCUGUCACCCAGGCUGGAGUGCAGUCGCGCGAUCUCAGCUCACUGCAAGCUCUGCCUCCCGGGUUUAUGCCGUUCUCCUGCCUCAGCCUCCCGAGUAGCUGGGACUACAGACCUGUGCAGCAGAUGCUGGGGGAUCCACUAGGCCCAGACAGUCUUAGGACUUGUGUCUCUCCUGCUGUGCAUCCAUACUGGGUGCUUUAGAAAUGGCAGGCAGACCAGAAGCCCCUGUAGCAAGUGAGGACAAAGUGUGGGAAGGCCGUGAGGGUCUGCAGUCCGAGAUGGCCUUGUCCUCAACCUGCAGUGCACUGUUGAUGCGCUGGAAUGCCGCCUCCUUCUCCCGGUCCAGGUCUUCAGCAGUGACCCGGUACCCCAGCUCUACGGGAGGUGGCAGCAUCAAAGGCUCCCCUC
rnacentral:lncRNA from 1 species